rnacentral:snoRNA from 1 species
GGCCCCAGUGGCUGCCACAGAAAGCCCCAGAGUCCGUGGGCCCUGGCUCCCUGCCCUGGGACCUGAAGAUAAGUGUGGCUGUGGACGCGG